rnacentral:rRNA from 1 species
GGCGAAGAGCUCAGUGACACGUGGCCAAACUACCCUGUGGAGACGGACACCCUCGGGAAACUGAGGCUAACCCGUCACGCCGCUCCCACGCUGGAAUGCCGGGAGCCCGAAACGCUUCGGCGCCACAGGAUGUGGCUGCGGCCGAUUAGGUAGACGGUGGGGUAACGGCCCACCGUGCCGAUAAUCGGUACGGGUUGUGAGAGCAAGAGCCCGGAGACGGAAUCUGAGACAAGAUUCCGGGCCCUACGGGGCGCAGCAGGCGCGAAACCUUUACACUGCACGCGAGUGCGAUAGGGGGACUCCAAGUGCGAGGGCAUACAGUCCUCGCUUUUCUGGACCGUAAGGUGGUCCAGGAACAAGUGCUGGGCAAGACCGGUGCCAGCCGCCGCGGUAAUACCGGCAGCACGAGUGAUGGCCGAUCUUAUUGGGCCUAAAGCGUCCGUAGCCGGCCGAGCGGGUCCGUCGGGAAAUCCACGCGCUCAACGCGUGGGCGUCCGGCGGAAACCACUCGGCUUGGGGCCGGAAGACUCGAGGGGUACGUCCUGGAGUACGAGUGAAAUCCCGUAAUCCUGGACGGACCGCCGAUUGCGAAAAGCACCUCGAGAAGACGGACCCGACGGUGAGGGACGAAAGCCAAGGUCUCCGAACCGGAUUAGAUACCCGGGUAUCCUGGCCGUAAACGAUGUUCGCUAAGUGUGGCGUCAACAAC